CUCUGGGGUAACGUCCGACGUGUGGAUGGGCAACACCACGAAGGCUUGCUGGAAGCUCUCACCACUGUUGCACUUGAUAUUGGUUGACCAGCAGUAUUCUCCAAGGGCUCCUGGGAAGAGAGAUGGUUGAGGCUGCAGGGCGGCCGGGCAUCCGCAGCGGCGGGUCAGGUGCAUGGAGGUGAUGACCAUGGUGUUCCACUCGUCCCGGUACAUGACGGGCAUCGGGUUCUGGGCGAUGGGCUGGCAACAUGGCGCCUGAACCUAGAGAAAUAAACAGGAGGGUUAAUGAAUUUGAUGCACCGUGAUAGAAAUUUUGGUUGAUUAAUUUUGGCAAACUACUUGUGUAUUCAUUUGAGAUUGGGAAGCGCCGAGACUUGCAGCGCUCCAACGUUGAUGUUGGCAACACCGUGGCUUAUCUAUUUGCAGCUGCCUUAGCUUUUCAAAACACUCAAAGGGUGUGGAUUGUGGGAGCAAAAAAAAAAA